GCCACAAUUACAACACCCACCGGCGAACGAUUAUACAACGACUCCGAUCCUCAAAUGGCAUUACACUUCCCAAUCCGAUCCAAUCCGAUGCGAUCCUCCAUUGGCUGGCAUUGACCUUGCCUCGCACUUGAAAACCGGAUGGCCGGAAAAUGGCCAUCAUCCCCCACACAGCGCCAGACAACAGAGCGAACAAAUUGGGGAGCAACACUCGAUGCGAAAUGCAAUUAAUGAAAACUUGUAAUUGAGAACACGAUAUUCUAUCUUUCUCCUUUUUGAUUGCUGAUGCGUGUGGCUGUUUUCAAUGAAAUUCUUCAGAAUGGAAUUGUUUGGCGAAUAAAAUUGGCAAAAAUAUGCAUAUGGUUGCUCGCUGCUUCUCAA